AUAUGUCAUAUAAGUCACCUUAUGACCCCAAAAGCCUAAAGAUUUACUGUCUCUUCUUUUGCAGAAAAUGUGUGCCAAUCCCUGCCAUACUAUAUCAGAAUGGUAUUUCUGGAACUAGAGGAAGGCAACGUGGCAUAAGGUUUCCACAGAACAGGGAGAAGCAACUGGGGAGUCCAGGCCCAUGCAACUUUUCUGCUUAAUCACUCCAUGAACUUGCAGAAGUGAUGUAUACUCUCCAGCCUCACUUUUCUACCUGUAAGAGGGAUUAACCACCUCUUAAAUUUGCUCUGAAAAUAAAACUGAUCUAUGUAAAGA
rnacentral:lncRNA from 1 species